UCAGAAUCCCCAUCGUUAGGGCCACGAG
rnacentral:piRNA from 1 species